rnacentral:rRNA from 1 species
AAAUUGAAGAGUUUGAUCAUGGCUCAGAUUGAACGCUGGCGGCAGGCCUAACACAUGCAAGUCGAACGGUAACAGAAAGCAGCUUGCUGCUUUGCUGACGAGUGGCGGACGGGUGAGUAAUGUCUGGGAAACUGCCUGAUGGAGGGGGAUAACUACUGGAAACGGUAGCUAAUACCGCAUAACGUCGCAAGACCAAAGAGGGGGACCUUAGGGCCUCUUGCCAUCGGAUGUGCCCAGAUGGGAUUAGCUAGUAGGUGGGGUAACGGCUCACCUAGGCGACGAUCCCUAGCUGGUCUGAGAGGAUGACCAGCCACACUGGAACUGAGACACGGUCCAGACUCCUACGGGAGGCAGCAGUGGGGAAUAUUGCACAAUGGGCGCAAGCCUGAUGCAGCCAUGCCGCGUGUAUGAAGAAGGCCUUCGGGUUGUAAAGUACUUUCAGCGGGGAGGAAGGG